rnacentral:rRNA from 1 species
GCGGAGGAAAAGAAAAUAACAAUGAUUCCCCUAGUAACGGCGAGUGAAGAGGGAAAAGCUCAAGUUUGGAAGCUUCGUGGCAUAGCUACGACGCGUUGUAAACUGAAGUUUUUUGGGUGAUUGGGCGACCGGAUAAAUAAGUCCUUUGGAAAGGGGCAACAUAGAGGGUGACAUUCCCGUCUUUGGUCCGAGUCAGUGCAGUCGCUGCCCAGGAAACGACGAGUCAGGUUGUUUGGGAAUGCAGCCUAAAAUGGGAGGUAAAUCUCUCCUAAAGCUAAAUACUGGCGUAAGACCGAUAGCGAACAAGUACCGUGAGGGAAAGAUGAAAAGGACUUUGAAAAGAGGGUCAAAUAGUACGUGAAAUUGUUGAAAGGGAACCGUAUGAAAGUAGACUGGCUUGGUGAUGAUCAAUGUGUGUUUCGGCACGCAUGCACUCAUUGCCUUUGCCAGCCAGCGGCAGUUUUUGCUAAAGGAAGAAAAUCAGGGGAAUGUGGCUUCGAUUUCGGUCGAAGUGUUAUAGCUCCUGGUAAAAUACUUUGGCAGAGACUGAGGCUAGCAGCGGAUCUUUGGGAACUUUGCGCGCUUGUCGUCCAAUGGCUAAGUUUUCUUCGGAUGCUUGGUCAUUGGGUGGCAACUCGUGUGAUGCUUCACCCUUCCGCUUAGGUCGCUGGCGUAAUGCUUUAUAUGAC